rnacentral:rRNA from 1 species
UGCUUUGGCGAGCUGCCUUCGGGCCUUGUAUGCUCGCCAGAGAAUACCAAAACUCUUUUUAUUAAUGUCGUCUGAGUACUAUAUAAUAGUUAAAACUUUCAACAACGGAUCUCUUGGUUCUGGCAUCGAUGAAGAACGCAGCGAAAUGCGAUAAGUAAUGUGAAUUGCAGAAUUCAGUGAAUCAUCGAAUCUUUGAACGCACAUUGCGCCCCUUGGUAUUCCGGGGGGCAUGCCUGUUCGAGCGUCAUUUCAACCCUCAAGCUUAGCUUGGUAUUGAGUCUAUGUCAGUAAUGGCAGGCUCUAAAAUCAGUGGCGGCGCCGCUGGGUCCUGAACGUAGUAAUAUCUCUCGUUACAGGUUCUCGGUGUGCUUCUGCCAAAACCCAAAUUUUUCUAUGGUUGACCUCGGAUCAGGUAGGGAUACCCGCUGAACUUAAGCA